UACGAAGGGAGCUAGCGUUGUUCGGAAUCACUGGGCGUAAAGCGCACGUAGGCGGAUGUGUCAGUCAGGGGUGAAAUCCCGGAGCUCAACUUCGGAACUGCCUCUGAUACAGCACGUCUUGAGUCCGAAAGAGGUGGGUGGAAUUCCUAGUGUAGAGGUGAAAUUCGUAGAUAUUAGGAAGAACACCGGUGGCGAAGGCGGCCCACUGGAUCGGUAUUGACGCUGAGGUGCGAAAGCGUGGGGAGCAAACAGG
rnacentral:rRNA from 1 species